rnacentral:rRNA from 1 species
UGCGUAGGUGGUUGUUUAAGUCUGUCGUGAAAGCCCUGGGCUCAACCUGGGAAUUGCGAUGGAAACUGGGCGACUAGAGUGUGGCAGAGGGUAAUGGAAUUCCUGGUGUAGCAGUGAAAUGCGUAGAGAUCAGGAGGAACAUCCGUGGCGAAGGCGACUGCCUGGGCCAACACUGACACUGAGGCACGAAAGCGUGGGGAGCAAACA